AGAGCCCAUAGUAUGCCCUACACCAUUGAACGAGAGUAGUUGGCGGUAGAUGGGGCGGCGUCGUUGACGAUCUUGAACUAUGUGAAAGCUUUUGCUGGUAUCAAAAUCGGUGUCUAGGCCUAGAGAGUUCUAAUGGCAUCUUCUUCACUGGCUAUGUUAUUGCUAUAAUCCUCAAAUGCUUUGGGUACUGACUUGUGUGACCUUUGGAUUCUCCUUGGACUUGACAUCACAAUUCAAUUUUUUUCUUCUACAUGUAGAAUCAAGCACAUGAUUCAAAGAUUCAAAUUUCAUAACAACUUUGAUGCACAGAUAAAUUAGCAGGUACAAAAAUGAAUGACAUAAAAUUUUCAACUCACUGAAAUGUACUAGACGUGUGCAAACUCAGGAGAACAGUACAUGUCCAAGGAAAACGGAAUGAGUUGGAAGUAAUGUCUUGUCCAUUUUAGUGCCUACUGGUAUAUUUGUUUUCAAAAUAAGUCUUUAUGGAAUUUGAAUAUUCCGAAUCAUAUGUUCUAUUUUACAACGAGGAAAAAGAGAAGUUCUGAUGAUGAUGUCAAGUCCAAGCAGGAUCCAAAGAUAACUUGAGUUAGUAGUGAAGGACAAUAGCAAUAACCAAGCUUGCGAAAAAAUGGCAGAGGUCUACAUCCCUAGACACAGAUUUAGACGCCGUCCAAAGCUUUAAAAACUUCAAGAUAAUCGUCAAUGGUGCGGACCGCGAACUACUCAUCGUUUACCGUGUAGGGCAUAUUACAGGUCUUGCCAAGAUCGGAAGUCGCUUCUCGAUGGGCGUAUGCCGAAGUACAUGAACCCGACUGCUCACUGUAGGAUUGAUCACGGGGAGGGUCAACAUUGCCAAGGGCAUUAGGUCCUUCCUCGCCUCUUCGUCUUCCCAUGAGGACCUCAUGGAGUGGAAGAAUACCCUGGAGUUCUUUGAGCUGCUAAAGCAUGGGCUUCGGCUUCAUGCACAAGUGUGAUGAUGACCUCCUUGGCCUCCUCAUUGCCUGAUCUUCAUCGGAUCGCUUGUCGACCUAGUCCAAGGGGUACAAGGAGGUGAAGUUGGAGUGUGCUCCCUCCAUGGAGAAGUUGAGGGCACUUGCGUCAAAGAUGUCGAGCCAGAAGACUGCUCUCAAAGUGAUGGAAAUGGAGAUGUAGGGUCGAACACAAAGAAGAGGGUCGACCAAGCUAUGCGACAAUUAGCGAGUGAUGACGCCUUGUGUACAUUGUUAGUGACUGGAACUACACAACUAUCUCAUCGUACUUGCCCUAUCUAUCUUGCUCUAGUUGUGUCUAUCUACUUGGUUUUUGGUACACAUGUACCACUAGAAAGGAUGUUGUGUUUUCGUGCACAUCAACUUUACCUUAGUUUGCACAGCAAUUAUGUGUGAUGAAAUGGUUAUAUGUCGUGUGGUUUCAUGGUUUGUUAUGAGCGUGUGCUAUUUGUUUAUUUUUGUAGCUGCUGUUUUGGUGCCAAACUGAACAUACAUGUUUUGAUUGAGUUCAUUGUUACGUUUCAUGAGGGAAAGGAAAUGAAGUAUAGGUAAAUAGCUUAAGAAUCAUUGAUCUUCUCAGACUUGAGGAGGAAAAACAACAUCUAAACUUAACUUGAGACUAUGUUAAGAAACAACUCAGGGGACACGUGAUGACCAAUUUAUGGAGUCUUUUCUUGGAAGAUAGAUUUAUGGAGUCCUAAGCUGUUAUCCAAUAUAAUCCAGGCAGGCAAUGUGUCUUAAUGAGAUUAUACAAUACAAGUAGAAAAUAAAGAAGGAUUGCUUAUCUACAAUAUAAUCCACCUACUGAUUCUUGCACGUACACGACGGAGAGGUGAUUCUUGAGAAGCGGAAAACGAUCACCAUUCUUUUGAUCAUUUAUCUGACCGUUUCUUGAACCUUUGUAUUCUUGAAUUCCAUUCUGUGUGUUGUAUUCUUUUUUCUCAUGUUGGUACAAUGUCUGAGGUUUUUGUUGAAACUCCCUGGUAUGUUAAGUUUUUUAAAAGUGAGUACAAUGCAGACAAUGUGCACCAAUUUAUUUUGAGGAAAAGGAUAUGUUCAAUGCUGCAACAAAGGUUGUGGUGCGAUAAGUGGCUCGAUGGCGUUUCUCUGGACAUCGCACCAUAUAUCAUCGGCCUGAACACCCCCUCUACUAGCGCGCAGAACGAUGGCUGAGGUGUUGCUUGAUUCUGCUUGGUUAAAAGACAUAUGGGGCCCCUUAACAUCGGCGCUUAUCUUCAAUUACUCGAGCUCUGGGAAAGACUUUGCUCUUCACCCAGAGCAUGAUGAUAGCCGGUCAUGGUCGUGGGAGGCUAGUGGUAGUUUCUAGGUCAAGUCCUUCUACGUGGCACACUUUGUCACUUCUUUAGGAUCAGGUUCGAUGAGGCCAUUUGGAAGGCUCCUGAGAAUCUAGACAAGCGAUCAAGGUCUCCCACAUAACGAACUAUGUGCCAUGUGCAGUGUUGUGCCUGAGGACAGCAGUCAUCUCUUUCCCGGCUGUGCCGUUGCCAGACUGCCAGUAUAAAUUUGAAACACCAUCCUCCAAUAGGCUAACUUGCCGUCCCAACUAUGGAUCAGGACCUUGUGUUCUGGGGGAUCACUGCUAGGGAAGCUUACCACGGUAAGGACCGGAAGAGGCUUGUUUGUCUCUGUAUCUUGGGGUCUGGACCAUAUGGAGAGAAAGGAAUGCUCUUGUUUUUGACAUCAAGGUUACUCCCAUCGUUCAGGUUGUGAAUAAGCUUACCGCAGAUGUAGAGUUGUGGCUAGGAAAGAUUUAGGUUCUUUUCUUUUCUUUCCCUUCAUCUGGCCUUUGGCUGUUCUAUGUCUUUCUGGUCUGGUCGUUGGCCUUGUUCUUGUUGUUCUGUAUUUAACUUUGAUCGGUUUUCUUCUGCUACAAAGUUCACAUACAGUUCUCUUGCAUGGUUGAAAAAAAUUAAAGCCUGUGCCAGGCUCGUGGAAUCUUGUUUCCUUGCCUUUUCAUUGCGGGAUAUUUUGUAAUCUAGAGACUACUAUUGCUGCUACUUUAUUGCUAGAUCACUAGUUGAGAUUUAGUAGAGUAACGAAAUUAUUGAUCUACUAGUUUAUUUUUACACUCAUAACAAUGAGUAAUCUGCCAUGGUUGCUUAACUAAUUUCUAGAGGAAGGGAGAGACGGCAGCAGGUGAUUCCUAGUCUGUCAAGACCAAAAAGGGGCAGAAAGUGGCAUUGUUGCAUCAAAUGUUGUAACAAUGAGCAGAUGGUGAGAGCCUUCAUGUGACCAUCAAAUGAUCUUACAUUACUGCAAUUUCACGCACAUCUUCUUUUCCAAGCUUCAUAGUUUCCAUAUAUUAACUAUUUAAAAAGGAAACCACUUAUUGUUUAGUUGGUCGGUUGGUUGGUCGUUCGAUAGAUCGAACACUGAGGAAAGGCUGUUAUGAUGCAUUGAUGCCACUUCAUUAACUUUUUAUGUCAGCCUUUUUUCCUUGUGUUUACGUAUCUUCAGUCUUACUACCUUGCGGAACAGCCCGACAAACCAAAAAUUAUUUGCGUAUGUUUUUUCUUCCUGUGCUAAAUAGUACUGCAGUGACUAGUAUAAGUAUACAAUGAUGUUCCUUUUUGGUCUUUUACUAAAUUACAACUUCUCUGGCACAGAAAUUUGGUGAUUGUAGGACUAGGAACUUGCUACUGGUGUUGCUCAGCAGUCUAUGACAACGAGUUUGUUCCAGAUGGCGGUGAGGUGGCCUUUGUUCCUUUUUGAAAGUUCCUGAGAUCCUGUAUAGGUCUCUUGAUGUGAACCUUGUGAUUGGAAUGUCUUUCAAGGUCUGACCUUAUAUAGACUUUUGUUUAAACUGAUCGAUUUUUUGGAUGAACAUUACGAUUUCGCAACCAUUUGCCCAUUUUUAUCUAUGACUUGCUAGUUUUUUUUUUCUUAAGGUGCUAGAUUUGAUCGUCACUCUUUGUGGAGAUGAAUCAUAUGAGCAGCUAGAUGUUGUCAUGUAAUGUUCCAUAUGGUGAAGAGGAGACUGGUAAAGUACGUGCUAGGAGGUACUGUAUGUACAUAGUGAGUCAGUUGAAAAGCAGUGGCGGAUCUAUGAUCUCAAAACACUCUGGGGGUGCCACGGUUAAUUUUUUUAAUGUAAUUUGGUCUAAAUGUAUCAUAGCUCCAAAUUAGCAUUAAGAUGUUAGAUAAGUAUUGUUAGGUAAGGUUUCUUUGCGCAACCCUUACAUUUCCAUGUCAUGUUUGUGUUGUUUCCUUCAA